GCCGCAGAGGAGGAAGACAUUGGGGAGAGACAAAAAGGGUUGCUUUUGACAGAGGAGGGGGGAAUUUCAGGUCAGAAAAUCUGGGACUUUGGGAAGAAGUUAGGUCUUUCAAGUCAGACUGAAGAAGAGGUGAUUGUCCGCCAAAUCGAGAUGCAAGGUAACUUCCUUUCCUUCAAUAAUGCUGGGAGUCAGAUGAAUUGUCCAUGAAUUUACUGUCAUACAACAUUAGGGGCUUGGGGAGUAUUG
rnacentral:lncRNA from 1 species